AACGCAUCUUGCGCUCCUUGGUAUUCCGAGGAGCAUGCCUGUUUGAGUGUCAUUAAUAUAUCAACCCUCUUUUGCUUUUUUUUGCAUGUCGAGUGUUGGAUGUGGGGGUUUUUGCUGGACUCUCUCCUUGAGGUCAGCUCUCCUAAAAUACAUUAGCAAAACAAUUUGUUUACUGCUCAUUGGUGUGAUAAAUAUCUACGCUAUUGGCGGUAUAAAGCACAGUUUAGCUUCUAACAGUCCAUUGACUUGGACAAUCUUUUAUCAAUGUGACCUCAAAUCAGGUAGGAUUACCCGCUGAACUUAA
rnacentral:misc_RNA from 1 species